rnacentral:RNase_MRP_RNA from 1 species
UGUCAGGAUGAUUAGCUUGUGCAGCAGGAAAACUGCUU